rnacentral:lncRNA from 1 species
GCGCCUUUAAGAGCCAUGCAGAAGCGCUAGCGUGUGUGUGUAUGCGAGUGAGAGUGAGAGUGAGAGAGAGUGUGUAUGCGAGUGUGUGUGUAUGUGCAUGUGUGUGUCAGCCGUACCCAUCAUGGCCCCUGAGCAGCAGCUGAUCAGACGGACCGCAGCUCCGCCAUCCUCCUCCAGCGAGCAGCGGCACCGGUGAAGAGGCUCCAUGUGUCCCCCAUCCUCGGUCAGAUUUCUGAGCAAGAGGGCCGCGCUCCAGCCGCCCAGCGCGAACAUGAAUAAGGAUUAUUCCAUUAAUCUAUCGGUGCAGCAAGUGCUCAGCCUGUGGGUCCAGGGCACGGUACCGACUCUACAGCACUUCACAGGUGCAGCAGUGGCAGGUGUGUACCGUGUGGCAGGGAAGGACAUGGCUCCUCUUGAAGCUCUGGUGUUUGGGGUGGGCCAGACCACUUUCACCGUCAUCAUCUCAUUCUCACGGAUCUUGGCCACUCUUUAAAUGGACUGAAAGCAUCAUUGACUGACACACCCAACAGCCAAUCGGCCGGCAGAAGAGCCGGGGUCGAGGUGAGUGGGGUUUAACCACAGAGGUUUGGCCUGCGGUACAAAACGAUGAGCUUUAGGAGUCACUAAUGGCCAAUGGACCACUAUAUGAAACCCUCUGGAAUGGCAGUCUUGGAGAUUUGAACAUUUCAAGAAGCAAAAACAGCAUUAUAGGCCAAUGACUCAAUCAACAUGCCAACUGCCUCGGUGGAGGAUUGAGAUGAAUCUUCGGAUGUCUGUUUGUCUUUGUUAAACAUUUGUUUUGUUUUUGCACAUGGAUCGCUUCAGCUUUAUGGAAACUGGGUGGUUUUGGAGCCGUAGCUGGGCUGUAACGCCAAGAUGGAUGCAUCGAAAACAUCCUCCAAUAAUUUGACUGUCAAUAUGUCUGUCUGUCCUCAAACAUUUUCUAAUUCUACUCUGCUGAAUGGCCUGAAACAUUCCUGUUUGUAUUAUUAUAGAUUUUCCCUCUGGUCCAGCAGUAUUACCACAUCCAGUUUUCUUCUUCCA